rnacentral:rRNA from 1 species
UACAGAGGUCUCAAGCGUUGUUCGGAUUCAUUGGGCGUAAAGGGCGCGUAGGCGGCGGGGUAAGUCUGGUGUGAAAUCUAGGAGCUCAACUCCUAAACUGCACUGGAUACUGCUCUGCUAGAGGACUGGGGAGGAGACUGGAAUUCACGGUGUAGCAGUGAAAUGCGUAGAUAUCGUGAGGAAGACCAGUGGCGAAGGCGGGUCUCUGGACAGUUCCUGACGCUGAGGCGCGAAGGCCAGGGGAGCAAACGGG